UACGUAGGUGGCAAGCGUUGUUCGGAAUUAUUGGGCGUAAAGGGCGCGUAGGCGGUUUGUUAAGUCGGUUGUGAAAGCCCGGGGCUCACCCCCCGGAAGUGCAUUGGAUACUGGAAGGCUGGAGUACCGGAGAGGAGGGUGGAAUUCCUGGUGUAGCGGUGGAAUGCGCAGAUAUCAGGAGGAACACCGAUAGCGAAGGCAGCUCGCUGGGACGGUACUGACGCUGAGGCGCGAAAGCGUGGGGAGCGAACAGG
rnacentral:rRNA from 1 species